rnacentral:rRNA from 1 species
GAUGAACGCUGGCGGCGUGCCUAAUACAUGCAAGUCGAGCGAACGGACGAGAAGCUUGCUUCUCUGAUGUUAGCGGCGGACGGGUGAGUAACACGUGGAUAACCUACCUAUAAGACUGGGAUAACUUCGGGAAACCGGAGCUAAUACCGGAUAAUAUUUUGAACCGCAUGGUUCAAAAGUAAAGGACGGUCUUGCUGUCACUUAUAGAUGGAUCCGCGCUGCAUUAGCUAGUUGGUAAGGUAACGGCUUACCAAGGCAACGAUGCAUAGCCGACCUGAGAGGGUGAUCGGCCACACUGGAACUGAGACACGGUCCAGACUCCUACGGGAGGCAGCAGUAGGGAAUCUUCCGCAAUGGGCGAAAGCCUGACGGAGCAACGCCGCGUGAGUGAUGAAGGUCUUCGGAUCGUAAAACUCUGUUAUUAGGGAAGAACAUAUGUGUAAGUAACUGUGCACAUCUUGACGGUACCUAAUCAGAAAGCCACGGCUAACUACGUGCCAGCAGCCGCGGUAAUACGUAGGUGGCAAGCGUUAUCCGGAAUUAUUGGGCGUAAGCGCGCGUAGGCGGUUUUCUAAGUCUGAUGUGAAAGCCCACGGCUCAACCGUGGAGGGUCAUUGGAAACUGGAAAACUUGAGUGCAGAAGAGGAAAGUGGAAUUCCAUGUGUAGCGGUGAAAUGCGCAGAGAUAUGGAGGAACACCAGUGGCGAAGGCGACUUUCUGGUCUGUAACUGACGCUGAUGUGCGAAAGCGUGGGGAUCAAACAGGAUUAGAUACCCUGGUAGUCCACGCCGUAAACGAUGAGUGCUAAGUGUUAGGGGGUUUCCGCCCCUUAGUGCUGCAGCUAACGCAUUAAGCACUCCGCCUGGGGAGUACGACCGCAAGGUUGAAACUCAAAGGAAUUGACGGGGACCCGCACAAGCGGUGGAGCAUGUGGUUUAAUUCGAAGCAACGCGAAGAACCUUACCAAAUCUUGACAUCCUUUGACAACUCUAGAGAUAGAGCCUUCCCCUUCGGGGGACAAAGUGACAGGUGGUGCAUGGUUGUCGUCAGCUCGUGUCGUGAGAUGUUGGGUUAGGUCCCGCAACGAGCGCAACCCUUAAGCUUAGUUGCCAUCAUUAAGUUGGGCACUCUAAGUUGACUGCCGGUGACAAACCGGAGGAAGGUGGGGAUGACGUCAAAUCAUCAUGCCCCUUAUGAUUUGGGCUACACACGUGCUACAAUGGACAAUACAAAGGGCAGCGAAACCGCGAGGUCAAGCAAAUCCCAUAAAGUUGUUCUCAGUUCGGAUUGUAGUCUGCAACUCGACUACAUGAAGCUGGAAUCGCUAGUAAUCGUAGAUCAGCAUGCUACGGUGAAUACGUUCCCGGGUCU